rnacentral:tRNA from 1 species
GACCGCGUGGCAGAGUGGUAUUGUGUUCGCCUCGUGACCGAGAGGUUGCUGGAUCGAAUCCUGCUGCCGAUC